AGCAGCAGCCGCGGUAAAACGUAGGUCCCGAGCGUUGUCCGGAUUUAUUGGGCGUAAAGCGAGCGCAGGCGGUUAGAUAAGUCUGAAGUUAAAGGCUGUGGCUUAACCAUAGUACGCUUUGGAAACUGUUUAACUUGAGUGCAGAAGGGGAGAGUGGAAUUCCAUGUGUAGCGGUGAAAUGCGUAGAUAUAUGGAGGAACACCGGUGGCGAAAGCGGCUCUCUGGUCUGUAACUGACGCUGAGGCUCGAAAGCGUGGGGAGCGAACAGGAUUAGAUACCCCGGUAGUCCCUGUCUCUUAUACC
rnacentral:rRNA from 1 species